GCUCUAUCUAAGCAGAGGGCUAUGCUGGAGAACAUCCUCAGGGCCUGCGUUGGGCUUGCGCCAGAGAACAACAUGAUCUUGGAGUACAAGUGAAGGACAAUGAAGAAAAAGAGGGACCUAAGACCUUAGAACAUGAAGAGUUAUUAUGCUUCAUUGUUUUAGUUUAUAAAUAAUUUGAAUUGUGGAAGAGAGAGGCAUAUCAAGAAGCUUAAGUUUAAUUUGUGUGAUAAUAUGAUCUGAGCUGUUUAAUUUGUGAGAAGAUUAAGCUAAGCUUUUGGAUCAAAUGUGUAAUAGAUUUGAGAGUAACUAUGUUUGUCCCUCCUUGUGUUAUGAUCUAUUAAAAUGGAUUUCUAUAGUCAUAGCUUGCUCUAUUUCAAUGUGUCUGAAGAUUCAUUCAAUAAAGAAGACAUGAAUAAAGAAUCACAAAAAGGGUAAAAAGAAGCAUAAGAAGAAACAAACAUAUAUAGCAAGUGAGAGAUCAAGAACUGCCAGCAGAAACCAUCAUGAACUCUCCCUCGCAGACCCACAUAAGCUUUACCUUCCAUCUUAGCAAGCCCGAACCGUUUCUGGAACUUGACAAGAGUCAUCCUCAUCACCAACGUUAUAUAUAUUAUUAUUAUUAUUAUUUUAUUUAUUUUAAGGAUCCAAAUCCGGAUCCGGAUAUCCGCCGGAUAUUACAAUUUUUAGAAGGAUAUCCGAUACCCGGAUAUCCGAGAACCCCGGAUCCGGAUAAGGAUAAUAAAAUUAUGGAUCCGCCGGAUAAAGAUCCGGAUCCGGAUACCUUAAAAUUGCCCGGAUAUCCGAUCCGUCUCAGGCCUAACUCGCAACUCGCCAGGUCCACAACUAUUCACGACUCUCUGACAAUGAUGUUUCCUUUUGAUUCAAUAAUCUUAGGGUACAAUAUUCACCAAUCACCAUGAAAGUUGAAACAUAAAUAGCAUAGAUAAACAAUUUUACGACAGUUCUCUUCCAACACUUGAACUGUGCCAGAAAUAAGUUAAUCUAUAUACAACACACAAAAAAACACAAAACCACGAGAGGCCAACACAUAUAUAAUAUACUAUAGUUUUAAAAAUUUGAUAUCAAAGCUCCAAUCUAAUAAAAGAAUCAGCUAAAAACCUUAAAAUUAUAAUUUGGUAUUUACUUUGUAAUCUUACGUGCAUCUAGAGGGAUCCCUGCAUCUAGAGUUCUCCAAACAUAUAAAAACUAUACACAUUAUUUGAUCCCUCUCCAUGAGUCCACCACAUAGAAAGACAAAGUUGUCAAUUGGGACCCUCUAGACCUUACUUUUAAAACGGUCACUACUUUACCGUUAACAGAGACGUUAACUCUCUCACGCGCAGUCACUAGACGUGACACCAUCAUCUUUCGUCACGUGUGCAUCCAAACAAGACCUGAAGACCACUUCCACAUCAGGUCGCGCGUGGCAGCCACUCGUAUUUCGGUGGCUAAAACUCUGCCGUUUCAACCGCUUCUCUUGUCUAAACAAUAUUUUGAAAAAGCUUUUUUUUUUCUUUCAAAAUUAUUUAAGAGAAUACUAUAUUUAAAAUAAUAAUAAUUUUUUGAAAAAUAAUUUUUAUUUAAAAAACCGUAAAAAUAUUUUCCUCAAUAUACAUACUAUCUUCUUCGAUUUGAAUUUUUUUCAAACUCCUAAAUACCGUCAAAAACAUGUAAUUAGACUUAGAUUUUAUGGUCAUAAAUGAAAAUUGUAUAUAUUUAAUAACUUUUUUAAACGACACUUUUUGAAAUAUUAUAAAUUUUCUUAAAAAAAUUUAACUAAAAAUUUUAACUAUACAAUAUUACUUACCAAAGUUAAUUAUAAAAUAACUAAUUCAUUUGUCUCUAAGGUUACUAAAUUGUAGCUAUUUAUCACUUGACAAAAAAAACUAUUUAUCACUAAAUUUAUUUGAAUUAAACACUAAAUAUAUUUAAUUUAGCAUUUAAAUUGAUUUAUAUUUGUCAAUAAGUUAAUUUAAUAACUAAAUUUACUUAAUUUAAGUCAUUUUCAAUCAAAUGGACUUAAUUCAAUUUAUCAACUUAAUUUAAAGAUUCAUAUUUUUCUAAAGAUCAUCCGGUUUGGUUCACAAAGUCACUAUGAGUCUGUAUUUGUUGAUUACAAAAAAAGUUGUAAAAUAUGGUAACUAUUCUCUAUAUAAAUUUUAACAUUUGUUUCAAUUUGAAUAAAAAUUUUACAUAAUGUUUUAAAUUUAAAAAAUUUUGAUUUAUAUAUAACACUUUUUGUUUGAUUUAGUAAAUUUGUAAAAAUAGUUCCAGCAUCGAUUAUAUUAAAACUAUGUAGUAUGUUUAUAUCGAAAAAGUAAAAUAUUUGUUACUUAAUACUAGAAAGUAUUUUAACAACUGAAUUUCAUUUUGUUAUUACAAAUUAAAAUUAGUAAAUUUUAUACUACGUUUAUAAAAAAGUAAAUAGUUUAUUUACAAUUAUCUAAAAUAAUAUCAGAAAAUAAUUUUUUUAUUUAGAAUUUAAAAUCUAGUAUAAUUAAAAUUCAUAAUAUCAAGAUUUGGUAUUUAUUUUUCAAAUUUACAUUCGUCUAGAUAAAUUUUAUUUUUCAUGCUUACAUAUAUUAGCAAAGUAGUCAAUAAUAUUAUAUAUUUUUUAUAUUAAGUGUUGUUUUAACAUUUUUUUGUUAUUUUAAUGUAAUUUUUAGUUUACUAUUAAUUACAAAUAUAUUGAUUUUAUAAAUAAUUUUAUUUAUUUUAAAUAUUUUAGAUCGAAUAUAUAAUUAAUAAGAAUUUAAAUGUAUUUUUUUUUUUAAUUUGUGUAAAAAAUGUGUAAUGAAGUAUUUUGUUGGGACCUUGUAGACUCUACUUUUAAAAACGGUCGCUACUUUCACCGUUAACGGACACGUUAAAUCCGUCAGGCGCCACGUAUGCAUCCAACAAGACCCAUUCCACACAUCAGAUUGCGCGUGGCAUCCACUCAUACCUCGGUGUGGCCAAAACUGUACCGUUUUAACCGCUUCUCUUCUCUUCUCUUGUCUUCUCGCUUCCUCAUCCCUCGGGGGCCUUCGAGUGUCUUCUUCACAAAGAAGCAAGAAAACGGUGGGACCCACAAAACUAGAAUGCACCAACAAACAAGACUUGUCCUAACGUGGAUCACGCCACGUGUAUGGACCCAGCUUCCAGCAUGUCUCUCACAUUCUAGCUAUCCCCACGCGUGUGAACCAAACACGUGUGGUUCAGCGGCCCUCAGGCUCUCUGGUCUAAGGGGAGUGGGCUCGCUCGCUAAAUCAACCAACCAUCUCCACUCGCUUGUGGAAAUGAAAAGGGACCACCGCGAAGACUGAAGAACCGCCACGUGUCCCUCCAUCUCUGCAUCUUCUCUAUAUAACCUCGCACUUGUUCCUCGAUUCAAGAUCACAAACCAAACACACAUAGAGCUUAACGCAAAAGAGAGAGAGAGAGAGAGAGCGAAGAUGUUCAUCGAGAGCUUCAAGGUUGAGAGCCCAAACGUGAAGUACACAGAGAACGAGAUCCAUUCUGUGUACGAUUACGAAACCACGGAGGUCGUCCAUGAGAACCGUAACGGCACUUACCAAUGGGUCGUCAAGCCCAAAACCGUCAAAUACGAUUUCAAAACAGACACUCGCGUCCCCAAGCUAGGGUAAUAAAAGUUCUCGAAUCUUUAACCUUUUGUGUUCUGUAAUUUCCCGACAAGAACUCACUUAACUCACAUUUUCGAUUCAUGACAUUUUUUUUUGGUGAUUAGCGUUAUGCUCGUUGGAUGGGGAGGAAACAAUGGAUCAACCUUAACCGCUGGAGUGAUCGCCAACAAAGAGUGAGUUAAAAAAAAAACACUUUGGUUCGGUUCAAUUCCUCUGUUCCGGUUUACUUCCGGUUAAUAAAGCUUUCUUGCAGAGGGAUCUCGUGGGCGACUAAAGACAAAGUGCAACAAGCAAACUACUUUGGCUCCCUCACUCAAGCUUCUUCGAUCCGGGUGGGAUCUUACAAUGGUGAAGAGAUCUACGCUCCUUUCAAGAGCCUCCUCCCCAUGGUGAACCCUGACGAUGUUGUGUUUGGUGGUUGGGACAUAAGCGACAUGAACUUAGCAGACGCUAUGGCUAGAGCAAGAGUCCUUGACAUUGAUCUCCAGAAACAGCUCAGGCCGUACAUGGAGCACAUGGUCCCACUCCCUGGUAUCUACGACCCUGACUUCAUCGCUGCGAAUCAAGGGUCACGUGCUAAUAGCGUGAUCAAAGGUACCAAGAAAGAACAAGUCGACCAGAUCAUCAAAGACAUGAGGUAGUUGAGACUUGCAUAUAUGCAAAACUGUUAUGUGUUAGUUAGUUUGUGUCAUGAUGAUGUUUGUGUUUCAGGGAGUUUAAGGAGAAGAACAAGGUGGAUAAGCUGGUUGUUCUGUGGACAGCCAACACAGAGCGUUACAGCGAUGUGGUCGUAGGGCUUAACGACACGAUGGAGAAUCUAUUGGCUUCUGUUGAGAAGAACGAGUCUGAGAUCUCGCCUUCUACGCUAUAUGCGAUUGCUUGUGUUCUUGAAGGCAUUCCUUUCAUUAAUGGGAGUCCGCAGAACACGUUUGUUCCUGGACUCAUCGAGCUGGCUAUAUCGAAGAACUGUUUGAUCGGUGGGGAUGACUUCAAGAGUGGUCAGACUAAGAUGAAGUCUGUUUUGGUUGAUUUCCUUGUCGGAGCUGGCAUCAAGGUAAUAAAAAAAAGAUAGCUUGUUCGUCAAGUAAACCUAACUUCUUUGUUUCUUGUUGCUGAAGAAACCUUGUGUGGCUGAUUGUUUGGGCAGCCUACUUCGAUUGUGAGCUAUAAUCAUUUGGGAAACAAUGACGGCAUGAACCUCUCAGCGCCUCAGACUUUUAGAUCUAAGGAGAUCUCAAAGAGCAAUGUUGUUGACGACAUGGUGGCUAGUAACGGUAUCCUCUUUGAGCCUGGUGAACAUCCUGACCAUGUUGUCGUCAUCAAGGUUCGGUUUUGAGUCCAUAGUUAUCAACCUCUCUUUCUUUUGAAUCUUGCUAACGUUUUGAUUUAUGUUGCAGUAUGUUCCUUAUGUUGGGGAUAGUAAGAGAGCCAUGGACGAGUACACCUCGGAGAUAUUCAUGGGAGGGAAGAAUACGAUUGUUAUGCAUAACACUUGUGAGGAUUCUCUUUUGGCUGCUCCAAUCAUCUUGGAUCUUGUUCUUCUCGCUGAGCUCAGCACCAGAAUCCAAUUCAAAGCUGAAGGGGAGGUUUGUGUGUUUUGCUAUUUAGUACCCAACAAUUCACUUGAGAGUUUUUGAGUUUUUAAUGUUUUUUUGGAUCUUCUUAUGUUCCAGGGGAAGUUUCAUUCUUUCCACCCAGUAGCAACCAUACUCAGUUACCUCACAAAGGCACCUCUUGUACCAGCCGGGACACCUGUGGUGAACGCUCUAUCUAAGCAGAGGGCUAUGCUGGAGAACAUCCUCAGGGCCUGCGUUGGGCUUGCGCCAGAGAACAACAUGAUCUUGGAGUACAAGUGAAGGACAAUGAAGAAAAAGAGGGACCUAAGACCUUAGAACAUGAAGAGUUAUUAUGCUUCAUUGUUUUAGUUUAUAAAUAAUUUGAAUUGUGGAAGAGAGAGGCAUAUCAAGAAGCUUAAGUUUAAUUUGUGUGAUAAUAUGAUCUGAGCUGUUUAAUUUGUGAGAAGAUU
rnacentral:lncRNA from 1 species